rnacentral:rRNA from 3 species
UAGGUGAACUGCCGAAUGAUCAUUGUUG